GUUCCCUUAGCUCAAUGGAUAGAGCAGUUGCCUUCUAAGCAAUAGAUAUAGGUUCGAUUCCUAUAGGGAAUACCA
rnacentral:tRNA from 2 species